UGGGGAAUAUUGCGCAAUGGGGGGAACCCUGACGCAGCCAUGCCGCGUGAAUGAAGAAGGCCUUAGGGUUGUAAAGUUCUUUCGGUAUUGAGGAAGGUUGAUGUGUUAAUAGCACAUCAAAUUGACGUUAAAUACAGAAGAAGCACCGGCUAACUCCGUGCCAGCAGCCGCGGUAAUACGGAGGGUGCGAGCGUUAAUCGGAAUAACUGGGCGUAAAGGGCACGCAGGCGGUUAUUUAAGUGAGGUGUGAAAGCCCCGGGCUUAACCUGGGAAUUGCAUUUCAGACUGGGUAACUAGAGUACUUUAGGGAGGGGUAGAAUUCCACGUGUAGCGGUGAAAUGCGUAGAGAUGUGGAGGAAUACCGAAGGCGAAGGCAGCCCCUUGGGAAUGUACUGACGCUCAUGUGCGAAAGCGUGGGGAGCAAACAGGAUUAGAUACCCUGGUAGUCCACGCUGUAAACGCUGUCGAUUUGGGGGUUGGGGUUUAACUCUGGCGCCCGUAGCUAACGUGAUAAAUCGACCGCCUGGGGAGUACGGCCGCGAGGUUA
rnacentral:rRNA from 1 species